AACUAACAAGGAUUCCCCUAGUAACGGCGAGUGAAGCGGGAAGAGCUCAAAUUUGAAAUCUGGUGGCCUCAGGUCAUCCGAGUUGUAAUCUAUAGAAGUGUUUUCCGUGCUGGCUCAUGUACAAGUCCCUUGGAACAGGGCGUCAUAGAGGGUGAGAAUCCCGUCCUUGACAUGAACUACCAGUGCUCUGUGAUACAUUUUCAACGAGUCGAGUUGUUUGGGAAUGCAGCUCAAAAUGGGUGGUAAAUUCCAUCUAAAGCUAAAUAUUGGCGAGAGACCGAUAGCGAACAAGUACCGUGAGGGAAAGAUGAAAAGCACUUUGGAAAGAGAGUUAAACAGUAUGUGAAAUUGUUGAAAGGGAAACGAUUGAAGUCAGUCGUGCUCUUUGGAUUCAGCCGGUUCUGCCGGUGUACUUCCUUUGAGUGGGGUCAACAUCAGUUUUGAUCGCUGGAUAAAGGCGGGAGGAAUGUAGUACCCUCGGGUAAACUUAUAGCCUCUUGUCACAUACAGUGGUUGGGACUGAGGAACGCAGCAUGCCUUUAUGGCCGGGAUUCGUCCACGUACAUGCUUAGGAUGUUGACAUAAUGGCUUUAAAC
rnacentral:rRNA from 1 species